AAUUCACCUAGGAGAGCAAACUCUAUACAAACCCGGGCAGGUGGAGGUCGUUAGCCGUGGAAGGCAAUUCACCUAGGAGAGCAAACUCCGAACAAUAAACCCGGGCAGGUGGAGGUCGUUAGCCGUGGGAGGCAAUUCACCUAGGAGAGCAAACUCCGAACAAUAAACCCGGGCAGGUGGAGGUCGUUAGCCGUGGGAGGCAAUUCACCUAGGAGAGCAAACUCCGAACAAUAAACCCGGGCAGGUGGAGGUCGUUAGCCGUGGGAGGCAAUUCACCUAGGAGAGCAAACUCCGAACAAUAAACCCGGGCAGGUGGAGGUCGUUAGCCGUGGUAGGCAAUUCACCUAGGAGAGCAAACUCUAAACAAACCCGGGCAGGUGGAGGUCGUUAGCCGUGGUAGGCAAUUCACCUAGGAGAGCAAACUCUAAACAAACCCGGGCAGGUGGAGGUCGUUAGCCGUGGGAGGCAAUUCACCUAGGAGAGCAAACUCUAAACAAACCCGGGCAGGUGGAGGUCGUCAGCCGUGGUAGGCAAUCUGCCUAGGAGAGCAAACUCUAAAUAAACCCGGGCUUGUGGUGCUCGUUAUACUGUCUUAGACAAUCCACGCGAUGGGAACACCAAAGAAAAGGAAAAUAAAAAAGAACACCAGAAAAAUGGAAAAUACAGAAACGAAACAUCAAGAAAAGAAACAAAAAGAUCAUCCACCUUUAGGCCCUAACAUCGCCAAAAUUAUAAAUUAUGGGUGGGUCUCUUCUGGGGAGAAAGCGGCUCACCCAGACCAAAGAACAUCAACAAGGGAUGAUAUAGAAAAGAACACCAAAAAAAUAUGGAAAAAGAACAGAAAAAAACAUCGAAAAAGAAAAGCAACAGAAAUAAAUGAGCAACAUCGAGAAAAGAGAAAUACAAAGAAACAUCAUCCACCUUUCGGCCCCAAACAACAUCACCAAAAUUAUGGAUGGGUCUCUUCUGGGAGGAAAGCGGCUCACCCAGACCAAGGAACAUCAACAAAAGGAUGAUGGGAAAAAAAUAACAACAAAAAGCAUCAAAAA